GGGGGCUGCAAAGCACCGUGUGAACGCGGCCGCGGAAGCGCCUCCGGUGCGCCAGACUGAAGCCCCAAAAUUGACAAGGCGCUGUAUAGUUAGACGUAGGAAGAAAAGGAGACAUUUGUGAAGAAUUUUUCUGCCCUUCAUGACCUGUCACAAACUUGUAUCUCAACUGCCUAAGGAGACAGGAAUAUAAGAUAGAGAGCAUAUGCAACACCCAUCAGCCUAAAGUUCUCAAAAAGUAUAUUUAGAAGCAUUAAAUGUAUCUAAGCAAGCAUUUUGCAUAUUUCAUA